rnacentral:rRNA from 1 species
GACGAACGCUGGCGGCGUGCUUAACACAUGCAAGUCGAACGGAAAGGCCCUGCUUUUGUGGGGUGCUCGAGUGGCGAACGGGUGAGUAACACGUGAGUAACCUGCCCUUGACUUUGGGAUAACUUCAGGAAACUGGGGCUAAUACCGGAUAGGAGCUCCUGCUGCAUGGUGGGGGUUGGAAAGUUUCGGCGGUUGGGGAUGGACUCGCGGCUUAUCAGCUUGUUGGUGGGGUAGUGGCUUACCAAGGCUUUGACGGGUAGCCGGCCUGAGAGGGUGACCGGCCACAUUGGGACUGAGAUACGGCCCAGACUCCUACGGGAGGCAGCAGUGGGGAAUAUUGCUCAAUGGGCGGAAGCCUGAUGCAGCAACGCCGCGUGCGGGAUGACGGCCUUCGGGUUGUAACCCGCUUUCGCCUGUGACGAAGCGUGAGUGACGGUAAUGGGUAAAGGAGCACCGGCUAACUACGUG